GAGUUUGAUCUUGGCUCAGGACGAACGCUGGCGGCGCGCCUAACACAUGCAAGUCGAGCGGGGAGAGCGAUAGUUUACUAGAGUUUUCCUAGCGGCGGACGGGUGAGUAACACGUGAAGAACCUGCCUUACAGAGGGGGACAACAGCUGGAAACGGCUGCUAAUACCGCAUAACACCAUUUUGGGGCAUCCUGAGAUGGGUCAAAGGAGCAAUCCGCUGUAAGAUGGCUUCGCGUCCGAUUAGACAGUUGGCGGGUAACGGCCCACCAAAUCUACGAUCGGUAGCCGGACUGAGAGGUUGAACGGCCACA
rnacentral:rRNA from 1 species